rnacentral:rRNA from 1 species
AGAGUUUGAUCCUGGCUCAGGAUGAACGCUAGCGGCAGGCCUAAUACAUGCAAGUCGAACGGAGCAGCAAUGCUUAGUGGCGCACGGGUGCGUAACGCGUAUGCAACCUACCUGUUAGAGGGGGAUAGCCCGGGGGAAACCCGGAUUAAUACCGCAUAAGAUAGAUGAGUGGCAUCACUUAUUUAUGAAACAUUUAUGGCUAACAGAUGGGCAUGCGUAAGAUUAGCUAGUUGGUGAGGUAAAGGCUCACCAAGGCAAUGAUCUUUAGGGGUUCUGAGAGGAAGAUCCCCCACACUGGUACUGAGACAGGGACCAGACUCCUACGGGAGGCAGCAGUAGGGAAUAUUGGGCAAUGGUGGCAACACUGACCCAGCCAUGCCGCGUGCAGGAAGAAGGCCUUCUGGGUUGUAAACUGCUUUUGGAAGGGAACAAAACGGCCUUGCGAGGCAACUUGAGUGUACCUUCAGAAUAAGCACCGGCUAACUCCGUGCCAGCAGCCGCGGUAAUACGGAGGGUGCAAGCGUUGUCCGGAUUUAUUGGGUUUAAAGGGUGCGUAGGCGGCCUGUUAAGUCAGGGGUGAAAGACUGCAGCUCAACUGUAGCAGUGCCUUUGAUACUGAUGGGCUUGAGUCUAGAUGAGGCCGGCGGAAUGGGUGGUGUAGCGGUGAAAUGCAUAGAUACCAUCCAGAACACCGAUUGCGAAGGCAGCCGGCUAAACUACAACUGACGCUGAGGCACGAAAGCGUGGGGAUCGAACAGGAUUAGAUACCCUAGUAGUCC